CAGACGUAUCUGCGGAUGCUCGGUCAAGCGGUGCAUUGUUUGCAUUACUUUGGUAGUUAACGAACCACAUGGAUAGUAUUAUAUAUACGAAUCUGAGAAAUAGCUAAGCUAGCUGUGCUUGUUGACAUGAGAGAACAACAUCCCUCCCAAAUUCAAAGAUGCAUUGUGUUGGAUGAGCAGCAUCACAACUUGUAUGUAGGCCCAGAAUUUUUAACAACGUGCUUGAUGUAAGCCUGCAGUGCCUGCCAUUGUUCAACAUCGAUGAUGUUGAUGUUUUCAGCGAUGGUGACUUUAAGCUGCAUGAUGCUAUCAGAAAAUGGAUCUGGCUAUAGAGCAUUUUAAAGUGAAAGGAAUGCCAAGAUUGCAGCUUAUAACUUGCACCAGCCUUUUCAAAAAGCGACACUGCUGAACUACCCGUGACUAAAAGUGGGGCUGCUGCAGGGACACAACUGAAAGGACUACUGUGCACCGACAGAAACAAGGAUGGAAGCGGAUUACUAAUGAAACCAUUUUACAGAAAAGAAGUCUGGUUACAUGAGUAGUAUAGAAACUACACAUUGUACACUGUAUGAAAUGCUGAGGCCUUCUCAAAUCUGGGACACUAGUCAGUUGCUUAAAGCAUUUCAUGAAAUAUUCUCUUGUAAGUUUUGACCAAUCGCCUCAAAGCAAGAUUUCAUUUUUUUUGACCAGCAGGAUAUGAUCUUAAUAGUUGUAAAUUAUGCAUAAUUAUCUUUUGGGGUAUGCUUUACUACAAUGCUCUUGCUAAAGGCAAAUUGGAAAACUAUGGAAGUAGCUCUUGACAUCACUAUAGAAACACACAACCCCAGUAGAUGACCUGGCAGUCACACACACUGCCAAGCUCAAUGCCACCAUGCCAAGGAAUGCAUCUGUCAAGUGAGAAACAUGACACAUUUUUUAGCACCUUUGCAGCUGCAGCCAAUUUUCAAAGAGCAUACCUUGUCCUUUUCUAAGCCAUUUUGCUUGGCAUACCAAGUAACGACCUUCCAUUUAAUAGAGUCAUGGUUUGCUGUCCAUGGAAAUUUCUCACUAAUAAAUGAAAAACGAUACACCUAAGAAAAAGAGCAAAACACAAUAUGGACUCUAUAACCAUGGAGGCAAAUGUGGUUGGAUGACCAUAUUUCGUAGCAAGAUAAAUCAUUUCCAACAACCCCUAAUGAGACUUCCAUAAUUCAUACUGUCAGCUUUUCCACAGCACCAAUCAUGUCUGAUCCUUUUGCAGUGGUAAAACCCACUGCUUCAGACUGCCACCCUGCAUCUAUCAGCACAGGGAACAUUGUGUCAUAUGCAAGUUAGUCAUGAGGAAGAUGCCUGCAACAUGCCCUGUCUUCACUCAUUGGCUAAGCUCAUGUUAAAGCAAAUACACUCCGAAAUAAUUACAAGGACACGAUGGCGAUGCUAAAAUGUCCUCAGACAAGAGGACAACAGCAUUACAAUAUGAUUUGUAUUCAUUCUGAUGUCAAGUCUGAGAGCCAUCACAGUUAUUACAAGUUUCAA